UACAUGGGGUGCAAACGUUGCUCGGAAUUAUUGGGCGUAAAGCGCACGUAGGCGGUUCGUUAUGUCGGAUGUGAAAGCCCUUGGCUUAACCGAGGAAGUGCAUCCGAAACUGGCGAGCUAGAGUACGAAAGAGGAUCGCGGAAUUCCCGGUGUAGAGGUGAAAUUCGUAGAUAUCGGGAGGAACACCGGUGGCGAAGGCGGCGAUCUGGGUCGAUACUGACGCUGAGGUGCGAAAGCGUGGGGAGCAAACAGGG
rnacentral:rRNA from 1 species